ACCGCAUGUGAUCGUGAGAUCAAAGCUGGGGUCGCAAGACCUGGCGCUUCAAGAUGAGCCCGCGGCCUAUCAGCUAGUUGGUGAGGUAAUGGCUCACCAAGGCUAAGACGGGUAGCUGGUCUGAGAGGACGACCAGCCACACUGGAACUGAGACACGGUCCAGACACCUACGGGUGGCAGCAGUCGAGAAUUUUUCUCAAUGGGCGAAAGCCUGAAGGAGCGACGCCGCGUGGGGGAUGAAUGGCUUCGGCCCGUAAACCCCUGUCAUUUGCGAACAAAUUGUUUUACCUAAUACGUAAAGCAUUGAUUGUAGCGGAAGAGGAAGGGACGGCUAACUCUGUGCCAGCAGCCGCGGUAAUACAGAGGUCCCAAGCGUUGUUCGGAUUCACUGGGCGUAAAGGGUGCGUAGGCGGUGAGGUAAGUCUGACGUGAAAUCUCCGAGCCUAACUCGGAAACUGCGUUGGAUACUAUCUCGCUCGAGGAAUGGAGGGGAGACUGGAAUACUUGGUGUAGCAGUGAAAUGCGUAGAUAUCAAGUGGAACACCAGUGGCGAAGGCGAGUCUCUGGACAUUUCCUGACGCUGAGGCACGAAAGCCAGGGGAGCAAACGGGAUUAGAUACCCCGGUAGUCCUGGCCCUAAACGGUGCGCGUUUGCUGUGAGUGGAAUCGACCCCGCUCGUGGCGAAGUUAACAC
rnacentral:rRNA from 1 species